rnacentral:rRNA from 1 species
GNNNANAACCAAGUUUACAACUCAUCAACCCUGUGAACAUACCUAAAACGUUGCCUCGGCGGGAACAGACGGCCCCGUAACACGGGCCGCCCCCGCCAGAGGACCCCCUAACUCUGUUUCUAUAAUGUUUCUUCUGAGUAAACAAGCAAAUAAAUUAAAACUUUCAACAACGGAUCUCUUGGCUCUGGCAUCGAUGAAGAACGCAGCGAAAUGCGAUAAGUAAUGUGAAUUGCAGAAUUCAGUGAAUCAUCGAAUCUUUGAACGCACAUUGCGCCCGCCAGUAUUCUGGCGGGCAUGCCUGUUCGAGCGUCAUUACAACCCUCAGGCCCCCGGGCCUGGCGUUGGGGAUCGGCGGAAGCCCCCUGCGGGCACAACGCCGUCCCCCAAAUACAGUGGCGGUCCCGCCGCAGCUUCCAUUGCGUAGUAGCUAACACCUCGCAACUGGAGAGCGGCGCGGCCACGCCGUAAAACACCCAACUUCUGAAUGUUGACCUCGAAUCAGGUAGGAAUACCCGCUGAACUUAAGCAUAUCAAUAAGCGGAGAAA